CAUGCGUGGACAAGUAAAUCAGGCCGUAGGCCAGGCAGCCAUUAAUGAGCUAUCCAAUGCUUUUUCCUCCCGAUUUAAGUAAAGCAACCGUCCUGUCAUAAAUGUGCCACCAAACCUUCCAGAUCGGACCAUCCCUACUAUGGUAGCAGCAACCAACGGUCGGCAAUACCGAGACGACUAAAAGGAAUCGCACUUGAAUUCCUCCCUCCACAUUGUAUUAUUGCUUACAAGUAUUUUUACAGGUCUCAAAAAUACUGAGUAUGAUAUGUAUAAACUGAGCCAUUGCGUAGUUCGAAAUUGUGUAAAUUUAUAUGUAUAUUCAAUAGUCUGAAGUAUCGUAUCCUCAUUAAAUAGGAUACACUUUUUUCAUGGCUUGUAAAUUCUUAUAAAAAUAAAAGGUACUUGCUGCUAAUA
rnacentral:sRNA from 1 species